CCUACGGGUGGCAGCAGUGAGGAAUAUUGGUCAAUGGCCGUAAGGCUGAACCAGCCAAGCCGCGUGAAGGACGAAGGUGCUAUGCUUUGUAAACUUCUUUUAUAGGGGGAUAAAAGUAUGCACGUGUGUCUGAUUGAAUGUACCCUAUGAAUAAGCAUCGGCUAACUCCGUGCCAGCAGCCGCGGUAAUACGGAGGAUGCGAGCGUUAUCCGGAUUUAUUGGGUUUAAAGGGUGCGUAGGCGGUGUGUUAAGUCAGCGGUGAAAGGCCGGGGGUCAACCCCGGAAGUGCCGUUGAAACUGGAUGUCUUGAGUUGUGGAGAGGUAGGCGGAAUGCGCGGUGUAGCGGUGAAAUGCAUAGAUAUCACGCAGAACUCCGAUUGCGAAGGCAGCUUACCA
rnacentral:rRNA from 1 species